UGGAUUGGAAGAAUAACUAAUAGAUAAUUACAUCCUUGGGAAGUAAGAAUAAAAAGGCACUUCCCAAGCAGUUUGUUUUGUUUCUCUUGCCAACUUAUAUUUGUAGAUGUGGUGUGGAGUUGUAGCAACUGGCAUGCACCCUGAGGUCACUGCACCCUGAGGUCACUGCACCCUGAGGUCACUGCACCCUGAGGUCACUGCACCCUGAGGUCACUGCACCCUGAGGUCACUGCACCCUGAGGUCACAGCACCCCAAGGUCACUGCACCCUGGGGUGGUCACAGCACCCUGAGGUCACAGCACCCCAAGG
ensembl:lncRNA